rnacentral:tRNA from 1 species
GGGGUUGUAACUCAGUGGCAGAGUGCUUGCUUUGCAUGCGUGAGGCCCUGGGUUAGGUACCCAGCAUCACAU